GAAGAAGAAAAUGGUUUAAGAUUAAAGAGACUCUGCAGGAACAAAAUCUUUGGACCAGAGUAUCUCCACUGGAUUGAAGGGUCGUGGGGGUAGGGAGGAUGAACUCCUGUUCUGGAAAGCCACGUUUGGAAUGUGGUAUCCCACCCCAGAAAAGUCAGAAGAGACCGGGACUUGGGAUUGACAGUGUUUGGAGCUCAAACUCUGAGAUAUUGGAACUGCACAGUGACCUUCUCUGGAGCAGAGCUGUGCUGUGCCCUCCUGGGGAUGAGGGAGCUGGCCCCAGAAUACAUAGCGUCAACCAGAGAUCUCCAAGGUGAAUUAGGAGAGAACAUCCCCCCCAGAGUACUUUUGGAAGAGGGUAUAUGGCCUCCCCAAGGCCAAAAGACCCUGCGGGUGCCAGCAAAAGGCCUUUCAUCAAUAGUGGACAGAGGACCAGAGGACCCAGAGGAAAUAAAACUUUAGCUGCUUUUAGUGGUGCUACACCAUAGAUUCUGCACAUUGUGUAGGCGUGGGACUGUUUUUCAGAGACACAGCAUAGAGGGGCUGUACUCUGGAGGAGGGGGAUGGAUAUGUGUGGUGCUGUGUUCUUUAAGACUUUGAGUUUUGGAUUCCAGCCACAUGCCAAAGAAAA